CGUUCGCGUACACAGGGGCAACCCUCGCGCGAUGUCAGCAAUACCUAGGUCACCCUUGAAUAAACUACCCUUGUUGCUUUGGCGGGCCGCCCCUCGGGGCCAGCGGCUUCGGCUGCUGCGCGCCCGCCAGAGGACCACAACUCUUGUUUUUAGUGAUGUCUGAGUACUAUAUAAUAGUUAAAACUUUCAACAACGGAUCUCUUGGUUCUGGCAUCGAUGAAGAACGCAGCGAAAUGCGAUAAGUAAUGUGAAUUGCAGAAUUCAGUGAAUCAUCGAAUCUUUGAACGCACAUUGCGCCCUUUGGUAUUCCGAAGGGCAUGCCUGUUCGAGCGUCAUUAUAACCACUCAAGCCUUCGCUUGGUAUUGGGGUUCGCGGCUGCGCGGCCCCUAAAAUCAGUGGCGGUGCCUGUCGGCUCUACGCGUAGUAAUACUCCUCGCGUCUGGGUUCCGGUAGGUUGCUUGCCAGCAACCCCUAAAUUUUUUACAGGUUGACCUCGGAUCAGGUAGGGAUACCCGCUGAACUUAAGCAUAUCAAUAAGCGGAG
rnacentral:rRNA from 1 species